GGCUUCAUAGCUCAGUCAUAGCCUCAUAGCUUGGUCAUAGCUUCAUGGCUUGGUAUCACAAGGUCACAGGUUCAAACCCUGUUGAAGUCC
rnacentral:tRNA from 1 species